ACUUCUCUCUUCUGCCUCCUAGUGAAAAAGGUGCCUGCUUCUCCUUCUGCCAUGAUUAUAAGUUUCCUGAGGCUUCCCCAGCCAUGCGUAACUGAGUGAGGACCUAGAAUUUUAAUGUCUAAUAUGCGGUGUGAAUUAAAGAAGCGGCCUUGCUAUGCUGACCUUUUCAAUAUUCUAAUCUUUGCUUUGCUGACCUCUCAGGCCUCUUCCUGGCAACAGUUAGGCUUUUGAGAGGAGAGAGAGCUGAGACUGUUGGCUCCUUCCCAUUUAUGAGAGAGCCACAUGACAUCAGCCCAUAGACUGUGGAGAGUAUUCCAGAUCUAUCACAUUCUGCGAUUCUGCGAUUCCCAGAAGGCUGGUCAUGAAAAAAUUCCCUCUUCAGUUUACAUAUAUGGCAGUGAUGCACAUUGUUCUUUUGGUUGUGAAAAAUUCGAAGAAGUAGAUGUGGUCCUGGUUGAUGGAUGAACAUUGAGGCCCUCAAGUGCAUAAAGGCACUUCUAGAUAUCUGUUGAGGCCUGGAAGGGGCAAAACAAUUCAGGAAGCAGUUGAAGAUAAAGGGGUUUACCAUGGAAGAGAAGAUCCAGGUGCCUUCAUGGAAAUGCUUGUGGUUGAAAAGAGAUGAAGAUGAGGGUCCCUGGAAAGAGGAAGAACCAGCCAGGAAAAUUAUACCAUUAGCAAGACUGGCAUCAGCAAGUAGUUCGCAGUGUUGGUUGUUCUUGGUUUCGCAGGAUUUUAUAGGAGAGUUUCUGUCAGGCCUUUGAGCCCAAGCUAAGCCAUCAUACCCCUGUGACCUACACGUUAUACAUCCAGAUGGCCUGAAGCAAUUGAAGAUCCACAAAAUAAGUGAAAAUAGCCUUAACGGAUGACAUUCCACCAUUGUGAUUUGUUUCCACCCCACCCUAACUGAUACAUAUAUUCUCCCCCACCCUUAAGAAGGUACUUCGGAAUGUUCUCUCCCGCUCUUAAGAAUGUGCUUUGUAUGCCUAUCCCAAACCUGUAAGAACUAAUGAUAAUCCCACCACCCUUUGCUGACUCUUUUUUUUGGACUCAGCCCAUCUGCACUCAGGUGAAAUAAACAGCCUUGUUACUCAC
rnacentral:lncRNA from 1 species